GGAGAACACGUGUGUUUGUAAGAUGAUUUCUUCAUCUUUGGUUUGGUGCCCUGUUCCCAAAAAGGGCAGAAAGGAAUAGAAAUAGAUGGGUUUUCUCUGGGUGUCGAAGGAAGAAGAAAAAAAUGCAUCGGGUAAUCUUUAGACAUCCGAAUGGGAAUCCGUUUUCGCCUCUGUGAUCAAGAAAUCUACCUCUACGAACGAAGUGCUAUAUGGUUGAAUUGAGAGUCCUGAAAGUCUCAAGGCUGGUCGAACAACCAAAUUAGAGAAGAUUAAGAAUAGGCACUUUCUUGGCUUAAGCAAGACCAAGAGAUAAGAGAGAACAACUUGUGGAACGAGUUAGUACCUAAAGCUUGGAAUAUCAGUUAAGGGGGACUCACACCCUGGUGCUGUGCGAGAAAUAAUGGAAGAGUUGGAUUAAGGUGUGCGGUUGUAGCUUGUCAACCUAAAAGCUUCCAACCAGAAAAGCAACUUUUGAAAUGUAAAUAUUGAUUUUCUGGUUUCAGUGAAAACUGUCUGUGUUUUUCCUCUUUGUUUCUGUGUAUAUAUAUAUAUGUAUAUAUAUAUAUAUAUGUCUAAACCUAUCACUCCUUUGGCUUGUAAACUGAACUUUUGGAACUUCUGUUGUAAAAAGGUUGCUUAAGAAAUGGUUUGAAUGUUUUGGUUUUCACUUAAA